UCCCGCUGAAUUUAAGCAUAUAAGUAAGCGGAGGACCUGAAACUAAAUAGGCACACUUUAGUAAUGGCGAAUGAACAGGAACCUGCUUAGUGCUGAAAUGGGGGACUACGCGUCUCCAAUUGUGCUGCUGUGGCGAAUAGCGUGCAAGGAUAGAGGUACAUGCCUCUUGGAAAAGGGCGCCGCUGAGGGUGAGAGUCCCUCCUUCUGCUUCUUGUCCUGCAGGAAUGGCGUUUCCCCCAAGAGUCGUGUUCCUUGGGACUGGAGCGCAAUGGGGUGGUAAGCUGCAUCUAAAGCAAAUCAUGCACUUGAGGUCAAUAGCUGACAAGUACUGUGAGGGAAAGGUGAAAAGGACUUUGGAGAGAGAGCUAACAGUACCUGAAGUCACUGUUGGGGAAGUGGGUCAAGUUGUUACCUUGGUGAGAUUGCUGGACGGCGCGCGGAUUGCCCCUGGGCUUGGCCUCUGGCUGAGGGCGUGGAACGUGGCCUGCACAGUGCGUCUUGCAGAAGGACUUGUCAGCAGUUGCCACUUGGACAAGGCCUGGAGCUGUCCCAGCAGGCAUGAUGCCAGCUGACAGCUCCACUGGGUUGGAGAGUGGACUACUUAGCAAGCUAACAACAGCUGGAUUCAUCCCGUCUUGAAACACGGACCAAGGAGUCUAGUAUGUGUGCAAGUGCCAUGCUGUGAAAACUCUGAAUGCAAAGUUAAAGGCAACUGCCAGGUAUUGGACUCUGGCAACCGACCUAACAAUGGGGCUAGGUUUGAGCGUGAGCACAGAUGCUAGGACCCGAAAGAUGGUGAACUAUGCCUGUGCAGGGCAAACUCAGGGGAAACCCUGGUGGAGGCUUACAGCGCUACUGACGUGCAAAUCGUUUGUCAGACGUGGGUAUAGGGGCGAAAGACUAAUCGAACCAUCUAGUAGCUGGUUCCCUCUGAAGUUUCCCUCAGGAUAGCUAGGGUAGAGCAGCUUUGUCAGGUAAAGCCAAUGAUUAGAGGCAUUGGGGAUGUGCCAUCCUCGACCUAUUCUCAAACUUUAAAUGGGCAAGAGCGAGUGGUUGCUUUGAUGAACCCUUGGGACAAGUAGAGACCCUAAGUGGGCCAAAUUUGGUAAGCAGAAUUGGUGAUGAGGGAUGAACCUAACGCUGAUUUCUGGUGCCCAACAGCCAGCUUAUUGGAUACCACAAAGGGCGUUGGUUCAUUUAAACAGCAGGACGGUGGUCAUGGAAGUCGAAAUCCGAUAAGGAGUGUGUAACAACUCACCUGCCGAAUGGACCAGCCCCGAAAAUGGAUGGCGCUGAAGUAGGUGACGCAUAGUCAGCCAUUUUUGCACAUGAGCAGCACUGAUGAGUAGGAGGGCAUGGGAUCUUGUGAUGAAGCUCCU
rnacentral:rRNA from 1 species